rnacentral:rRNA from 1 species
GACGAACGCUGGCGGCGUGCCUAAUACAUGCAAGUCGAGCGAAGUUUUUCUGGUGCUUGCACUAGAAAAACUUAGCGGCGAACGGGUGAGUAACACGUAAAGAACCUGCCUCAUAGACUGGGACAACUAUUGGAAACGAUAGCUAAUACCGGAUAACAGUAUUUCUCGCAUGAGAGAUAUUUAAAAGUUGGUUAUGCUAACACUAUGAGAUGGCUUUGCGGUGCAUUAGCUAGUUGGUGGGGUAAAGGCCUACCAAGGCGACGAUGCAUAGCCGACCUGAGAGGGUGAUCGGCCACACUGGGACUGAGACACGGCCCAGACUCCUACGGGAGGCAGCAGUAGAGAAUCUUCCGCAAUGGGCGAAAGCCUGACGGAGCAACGCCGCGUGAGUGAAGAAGGAUUUCGGUUCGUAAAGCUCUGUUGUUAGGGAAGAAUGGAUAUGUAGUAACUAUACAU